UACGUAGGGUGCGAGCGUUAAUCGGAAUUACUGGGCGUAAAGGGUGCGCAGGCGGUUCUGCAAGUCAGGCGUGAAAUCCCCGGGCUUAACCUGGGAAUGGCGCUUGAAACUACGGGACUGGAGUAUGGCAGAGGGAGGUGGAAUUCCACGUGUAGCGGUGAAAUGCGUAGAGAUGUGGAGGAACACCGAUGGCGAAGGCAGCCUCCUGGGCCAAUACUGACGCUCAUGCACGAAAGCGUGGGGAGCGAACAGG
rnacentral:rRNA from 1 species